rnacentral:rRNA from 1 species
GAUGAACGCUAGCGGCAGGCUUAACACAUGCAAGUCGAGGGGUAACAGGGGUUGCUUGCAAUCCGCUGACGACCGGCGCACGGGUGCGUAACGCGUAUACAAUCUGCCUUGUACUGAGGGAUAGCCUUUGGAAACGAAGAUUAAUACCUCAUGGUAUAUAUGAAUGGCAUCAUUUAUAUAUUAAAGGUUACGGUACAAGAUGAGUAUGCGUCCUAUUAGCUAGAUGGUGUGGUAACGGCACACCAUGGCAACGAUAGGUAGGGGCCCUGAGAGGGGGAUCCCCCACACUGGUACUGAGACACGGACCAGACUCCUACGGGAGGCAGCAGUGAGGAAUAUUGGGCAAUGGAGGCAACUCUGACCCAGCCAUGCCGCGUGCAGGAAGACUGCCCCUAUGGGUUUGUAAACUGCUUUUAUACAGGAAGAAACACUCCCACGUGUGGGGCUUGACGGUACUGUAAGAUAAGGAUCGG